rnacentral:lncRNA from 1 species
GACAGAAGUUUUUCUUUUUCUUUUUUUGAGCGGAGAUCCGACAGAAGUAAAUCGUACCCAAAUCACAUCGUAUACGAUACACUGGAUUAGAGUAGUCCGUAGUACACACUCGACCGAAAACGCAAGGGCAGCUGCGCAAAGCUACGCCUGUAAAAAGAAGAGAUAACGUACGCAAGGCGCGAGAGUGCCUAGUAGACUACUAGUAGCAGUAGUAGGAGCAGCUGUAGCUCCGCUCUCAGCUGUCACGUGUUAUGUCUUCUACGUCGAAAAUAGAGAUCAAACAAAUUCGUACAUGGGCCUUACGCCCAUUUAAAAUGCCGGACAGCCCAUGAAACGAAAUUCAAAUGGGAAUUAUACUGCCCAACAGGCUUUGUUGUCUUGGGUGUCAGACGCGCAGGUCCAUUGCGGCCUGAAGCGGAUGUGGCCGGUGUAACUAUUCCUGGCCCUGGGCCGUUUCUCCCUUUUCUUUUCUUGUUUAUUUCACUUUUUUCUGCUAAAAAAAUUCACAUUUUUUCUAUAUUUAUUCUUUCUUUGCUUUUGUUUUUUAGAAAAAUACAUUAACUUAUCUGAUACAUGUGAAAAUUUCUUUCGAAAGUCCAUGUGUUUUUAAACAUACAAACUUUUAUAUGCAUGUGUUGUCUGUUGGUCUUUAUGGAAUUACCAAACUGAACUUAUUUACAAGAAAAAACUUUUCAUUUCUCGCGAGUUAUCAACUAGCGUCACAUUCGAUCUGUACUAGGUCCCACUGUAGCUUGCGGACCUAUUGGAUUCUCUAAACUAUGCAUGGGUGCAACCACUCGAAAAUGAUUAAGGAAACCUUGCACCGAAAAAUAAAACUAAAAAAUAUAAAGCAAAAACAACCAGAUGCCUUGUUGGCCCGGCCCGCUGAAGGAGGACCUGUGCGACGACCCCUCUCUGAUCUCACAAUUUUCAUUUUCCCCUCAAGAAACGAAAUGUGAGCUCUCAUUUGGUAUCGUGUUUCACAUGGUGAGUACAGUAUGUCGAUUAGCUUCCAGCGAACUGAAU